rnacentral:rRNA from 1 species
GACGAACGCUGGCGGCGUGCUUAACACAUGCAAGUCGAACGGAAAGGCCUCUUUCGGGGGGUACUCUAGAGGCGCACGGGUGAGUAACACGUGAGUAUCAUGCGCUUGACAUUGUGGUAACUCCUGGAAACAGUGGGUCUUACCGGGUAUAAGCUCCUGCGGCAUGGUGGGGGGUGGGAAGAUUCGGCGGUUGGGGAUGGACUCGCGGCUUAUCAGCUUGUUGGUGGGGUAGUGGCUUACCAAGGCUUUGACGGGUAGCCGGCCUGAGAGGGUGACCGGCCACAUUGGGACUGAGAUACGGCCCAGACUCCUACGGGAGGCAGCAGUGGGGAAUAUUGCACAAUGGGUGGAAGCCUGAUGCAGCAACGCCGUGUGCGGGAUGACGGCCUUCGGGUUGUAAACCGCUUUCGCUCAUGACGAAGCUUUGUGUGACGGUAGUGGGUAAAGAAGCACCGGCUAACUACGU